rnacentral:rRNA from 1 species
UACAGAGGGUGCGAGCGUUGUUCGGAAUUACUGGGCGUAAAGGGCUCGUAGGUGGCCAACUAAGUCAGACGUGAAAUCCCUCGGCUUAACCGGGGAACUGCGUCUGAUACUGGAUGGCUUGAGUUUGGGAGAGGGAUGCGGAAUUCCAGGUGUAGCGGUGAAAUGCGUAGAUAUCUGGAGGAACACCGGUGGCGAAGGCGGCAUCCUGGACCAACACUGACACUGAGGAGCGAAAGCCAGGGGAGCAAACGGG